rnacentral:misc_RNA from 1 species
GAGAGAUGAGGAUUUGGGAGGCUGAGAAUUUGGUGGGUCUAAUGAAGAGAGCUAGCAUCAACUCGAAUUUAGUCACAUAUAACACUCUAAUACAUGGGUUUUGUAGUAUCGGAAGGUUGGAUAAAGCUUUGAGUUUGUUUGACCGUUUGAAGUCAAAUGGUAUAUCUCCAUCUUUGGUAACUUAUAAUGUUCUGAUCGAAGGAUAUUCUAAUGCUGGAAACUGGGUGCGUGUCACUGAUUUUGUGAGGGAGAUGGAGGAGAGAGGCAUUUCUCCUUCUAGAGUGACAUAUACCAUUUUAAUUAAUGCCCAUGCUCGGUUUGAGGACAUGGAGAAAGCCUUUCAUUUUUAUUCCUAUAUGCAAAAGGUUGGCUUGGUUCCUGAUGUCCAUACCUAUGGUGUGUUAUUACAUGGGUUGUGUAUGAAAGGGAAAAUGAAUGAAGCAUCGAAACUGUUUAGAUCAAUGGCUGAAAUAAAGAUCGAACCCAGUGACGUGAUCUUCAAUACGAUGAUUAAUGGUUACUGCAAAGAAGGCAGCUCUUUCAGGGCCUUGAGAUUGCUCAAAGAAAUGGAGGACAAGGGAUUGGUUCCAAAUGUGGCUAGCUAUAGUUCUACCAUUGGAGUUCUAUGCAAGGAUGGUAAGUGGCAAGAGGCUGAGGUCUUACUAAACAAGAUGAUGGAAUUGGGAUUAAAGCCACCAAUUUACAUCUAUAACAUAAUCUCCGAAGCCAAAUAUGGCAAAGAGUUGAGGACUUGAAACACUCCUGUUGGAAGUAGAAGAAAAAAUGGGAAGUGGAGAGAAAACAUCAGCCUUCUUAUGACUUAAGUUGAUAGCCUAAAACUGUCAUUGCUGAUGUAUAUUCGAAGAGAUCCAUAGGAAGAGAUCUUUGGUCUGGAGAAACUUCUGAAAACUGGCUCAAGAAUAUUGAGGAGAAAUUCACUUAUUGUUGGAUGAAGUAUUCCAGUUAAGUGGGCGUCAAAAUAAGUUUGGAAGUCUGCCUCAUAGAGUAUUGACAGACACUAUUUGGCAGAUAAGCAACUGAUUAUAGGUUGGAACUUGGAACUUCUCCAAUUUUGCUGCAAAAAUAAUGCAGAAAACCACGAGAACGAAACUAUUCCAACGGCUAAAAUCUCUUUGAGUGAGGCUAUUGGUUGCGGGGAAAAAGAAAAGUAAAAAAGUCAACUGCGUCAAAUAAUCCAGAUCUUUGGCUGGGACACUUGGACGGUGAAAGCUGCUCUGUCCAUGUCAAACCGCACAGGUACGGGUCAAACCCCGGUUAAGAGCUCUUCCCGACCCGAAAUGAAUCGUUCCGACCACCCGGGCCUUGCUGCCGAUACGCUCUCUGAUCCUCUCCUUCAAAACGGCUCCUUUAUCGACGCUAGCAACCUUUCGGCCAGCGCGCAGACCACAAUCAAAAACAGAGACAGUCACCAAGCGGCUUCAGCGAAUGGUGUGGAUAGUUCAAGACGGCGACGCCGAUUAAAUCGAGGAAAAAAGUACUGGUGAUGAUGUCGGAAUCGGCGAAUUGGUUGCCUCCGGGAUGGAUAGUUCAAGAUAGGGUUAGGACCUCUGGUGCAACGGCUGGCACGGUAGAUAAGUGCAAUUGAACACAAGGAAUGCUCUCUAUCUUGUGCAGUAUUACAUUGAGCGUGUAUCAGGCCGUCGAUUCAGGUCCAAGAAAGAGGUGCAGUAUUAUCUGGAAACAGGAACCUUGAAGAAUAAAAAAAGAGGAACAGAGAAUUCUGAAGGUGAUGUUAAUGCGGCACAGGGUUCUGGGAGUCACAGCAACAAGAAGGCUAGCAAGAAUGCAAAGCGUCCUGAAAUGAAGUUUGAUUAUUUGAAUGUGCCUGAUAGAAUCGAAUGGAUUCUUAUAGAUGCAAAAGAAGAUGCCUGGACUCCUUUCAUUGAAUUCAAAAAGGUGACUGAAUAUGAUAAGCAAAAUUGGGAAUUUGAGAUGCUGCAUUUACAUCACUAACAGCUAGAAGCAAUAGUGAAACAAUGUUUUGAAGCCUUUCAGAAUCCAGCCCCCUGAAUCAUCAAAAGGUAGUCUCACACAGGCCAAUUGAAGGUCUCUUUUUCCCUUUUCCUUUUCACUUGUUCUAGAUAUUUGUCUAGCAAAAUUAAUUUGUACACUAGUUCUAUAAGACACCUACUAAAUAGUGUUUU